AUUUCUAGAAAGGAAAUAACAAAAGACACUAAAGACUGAAAAAUGUUUCUCCUCUUUGAGUAAAUAUUUUUCAUUGUAGGAAAUUAAAUAAAUACAAAUACAAGGAUGUUUAUUAAAUCUUUAUUGAUACUGGGAGACACUGGAAACUAUAAUAUUCAACAAUAGGGAACUGGCUAACUAUAGCACACACACACUGGAACACCUCAUGGGUAUCAGGAGUCCAGUGACGUGCUGAUGCUCAACACAUUAUAUGUUAUGAAACCAAUCAGGGAGAAAAAAUCUUGUCUGUACAUAAAAGGAAAUAUCCUAAUAUAUCACAUACUAAUAACGUUUAUUAUUAAAACGUGAUUAUACUUUUUUUUUGUUUUGAGACAGAGUCUUGUUCUGUUGCUCAGGCUGGGGUGCACCAUCACUGCUGUCUGCAACCUCUGCCUCCUAAAUUGCUAGGAUUACAGGUGUGAGCCACCGCACCUGGCCAUCUUUAUGUGUUUCUAUGCAUAGAGUUUUGUUUGUUUGUUUGUUUAUAAAGAGGGUCUCACUCUGUCACACAGACUGGAAUGCAGUGGUGCAAACACAGCUCACUGCCUUCUCUACCUCCUGGGCUUAAGUGGUCCUCCUGCUUCAGCCUCCAGUGUAGCUGGUACCACAGGCAUGCACCACCACACUUGGCUAAUUUUUUUAUAAUUUUAAAGACAGGCUCUUAUUUUGUUGCCCAAGCUGGUCUCGAACUCCUAGGAUCAAGCAAUCCUCCCACCACCCAAAGUGUUGGGAUUACAGGCAUGAGUCACUGAGCCCAGCCUGUAGAGGUAUUUUGAAGAAUACAUUUUAGAAGUGGGAUUCCUGGGUCAAAAUUGAUACAUACAGUGCUGGCAAGUUACCCUCCCAAAGGGCAAUACCAAUUUGUAGUCUCAGGAAAGGGAAUAUUUAUUUUUUUACACUUUCAUCAAUCUUGGAUACUAUCAGUCUUUAUAAAAAUUUUUUUGGUAAAUAUGAAGGUCAGAGAUUUUUACUUCUUAAAGUCUAUGAAAAAAAAACCUUAAAAACAGUCACCAUGGGCAGGAGGAUUGUAAUAAUCAGCUGUGAUCCUUACUGUUGCUGCUUGAUGUUUUUAAAAUAAAUUCUGUUAUAGUCAUCUCCAGGCAUUUUUCCAGUUAGAUAGGCUAUGCAUUCAUCUCUUUUCCCCAUAUCCCUCCCCAAAAUUAGAGCAUCUGGGGAGUGUCAGUUAUCCCAUAAGACUUUCAUUCAUUCCCAUGAUGAAUGCAUCAACCAGCACAGUGCUGAUUUGCAGGAGGAGGACUUGAAUGGGAUUUUGGCCUCCUCCCCAUUUAGGCUAGGCCUGCAGUCAAAUUCAAAGUACAACUGACAGAAAUUUCUUGGAUAUUUAAAUUCCAGGCCUUGUGCUAGACAUUAGGGUUAUGGAAGUAAACAAAACACACCAUACUGCCUUCACUGGAGUUACAGUCUAGCUAGGAAGACAUGCAUACUGAAGUAAUUAAAGUCGGGUGAGUGUGAACAAAAGGGAAGUUAGCAAAAACAACUAUGGAGUUACAAAGCAAGGACAAUAACCUAGUCUCUGAUGAAGGGAUUUGCCAGGCGAAAAAACAGUGUGCAUGAAAAAUGGGAGUGACCAUGGCAAGAGGGAGAGUGGCACAAAGCAAGGCUGGAAAGUUAGGUGCUAGAUCACGCAGGGCCUUAGAGGUCAUAGGAUUUCAUCCCGAGACAGCCAUUGCAGGGCAUUUAGUAUGGUAGGGCAUGAUCAGAUGUUAAUUUAUAAUGUUAUGAGAAUAGAUAGGAGAAAGUGUGUGGAUACAAGGAGGCCUGUGGGAUGACCAUUGCCAUGGGCCAGGUGAGGGAAGAUGUUAACUUAGAUUGGUAGAAGUAAUGAUGAGAAGAAAUGAGUGGAUUUGAGAAAUACUUGGGAAAUAUAUCACUAGGAUUAGGUGAGGUUUCUGGCUUGAGCAACUGCAUGACUUGGUCCCAUUGUGUUGAGAAAGGGAAGCGAGCUCUGGAGGACUAAUCCCUAGGUUUGGCCUACAUUGAUUGUUUAUAAACAGUGACCAAGAGACAGACUAGUUGGAGGAUUUUUUCCUUUGUCCCUUUGUUCUCUGCUUAAGGCAGAGAAUCUUAAUCACCAAUCAGAUAUUACCUGACCUGCUUUUCAGCUCUCUGACAAAGAUGUGUGUGAAUUACAGAGUGGAUAUUUUUGUUUUUUUUUCACAUUUUGUCCCAUUUGUUUCUUCUUUCUCUCUGACUCAAUUCCCCUCAUUAUAAAAAAUUUUGAUUGAUACUUAAUAAUUGUACAUAUUUAUGGGGUACAGUGUGAUGUUUUGAUACAUGUAUACAUUGUGUAAAGAACAAAUCAGGGUAAUUAGCACAUCCCUCACCUUAAACAUUUAUUUCUUUGUGAACAUUUGAAUAGCUCUCUUCUAGCUGUUCUGAAAUAUAUCAUGCAUUAUUGUUAACUCUAGUUAUUCUACUGUGCAUUAAAACUCCAGAACUUAUUCUUUCUAUCUUACUGUAGCUUUAUACCAAUUGACUAACCUUCCCCCUGCCUCCCUAUCUUCUGGUAACCACUAUUCUACUCUGUACUUCUGUGAGAACAACUUUUAAGAUUCCACACAUGAGUGAGAUCAUACAGUAUUUGCCUUUCUGUGCCUGGCUUAUUUCACUUAAUGUAAUGUCCUCCAGAUUCAUUCGUGUUGUCACAAAUGACAAGAUUUGAUUCAUUUUUUUAAUGGCUGAAUUGUAUUCCAUUGUUAUUUUCUUCAUCCAUUUAUCCAUUAAUAGACAUUUACUUUGAUUUCAUAUCUUGGCUAUUGUGAAUAGUGCUGCAAUAAACAUAGGAAUGCAGAUAUCUGCAUACUAAUUUCAUUUCCUUUGGCUAUUUAUCCAAUAGUGGGAUUGCUGGAUCAUGUGGUAGUUCUAAGUUAUUGAAGAAUCUUCAUAUUGUUUUCCAUAAUGGCUGUAUUAAUUUACAUUCCCACCAGCAGUGUUCUGAGCGGAAGAGAAAGCCCCCCUGGGCAGAAAUGUACAACC
rnacentral:lncRNA from 1 species